GACAGAGGGUGCAAACGUUGCUCGGAAUCACUGGGCGUAAAGGGCGUGUAGGCGGGCAUGCAAGUCAGGCGUGAAAUCCCUGGGCUCAACCCAGGAAUUGCACUUGAAACUGCAUGUCUUGAGUAUCGGAGAGGGAAGCGGAAUUCCUGGUGUAGAGGUGAAAUUCGUAGAUAUCAGGAGGAACACCGGUGGCGAAGGCGGCUUUCUGGGCGAUAACUGACGCUGAGACGCGAAAGCGUGGGGAGCAAACAGG
rnacentral:rRNA from 1 species